rnacentral:rRNA from 1 species
UACGGGGGGGGCAAGCGUUGUUCGGAAUUACUGGGCGUAAAGGGCUCGUAGGCGGCCAACUAAGUCAUACGUGAAAUCCCUCGGCUUAACCGGGGAACUGCGUCUGAUACUGGAUGGCUUGAGUUCGGGAGAGGGAUGCGGAAUUCCAGGUGUAGCGGUGAAAUGCGUAGAUAUCAGGAGGAACACCGAUGGCGAAGGCAGGUCUCUGGGCUGUAACUGACGCUGAGGAGCGAAAGCGUGGGGAGCGAACAGG